UACGGAGGGUGCGAGCGUUGUCCGGAAUCAUUGGGCGUAAAGGGCGCGUAGGUGGCCCGGUCAGUCCGUGGUGAAAGCGCGGGGCUCAACCCCGCGUCGGCCAUGGAUACUGCUGGGCUGGAGCACUGUAGAGGCAGGCGGAAUUCCGGGUGUAGCGGUGGAAUGCGUAGAGAUCCGGAAGAACACCGGUGGCGAAGGCGGCCUGCUGGGCAGUUGCUGACACUGAGGAGCGAAAGCGUGGGGAGCGAACGAGG
rnacentral:rRNA from 1 species